AUCCUAGAUAGGGUUUAGGUUGAAGAUGGGGAAGUAGAAGGACAAAAUUUCACUGUUUACAUUUGGGGAUGAUCAUAAGCUGACGAAGAAGAACCAGAUUCAGAAGCCAAGAUCAUGUCAGUUCAGUACAAGUGCAGCAGUUGGCAGUUUUGGUGAGCACAAUGCGGCCUGUCUUCUUGUAUUCUGGGAAGACACUUCCCUUCUUGCUGUUCCAUGUUUUUCUGCUGCUGGUACUUUGUUAGAGGUAAACCAUUGGUUUCAUCUGCCUUUUGAUUUGUAUGUAUUUGUAUGUAUAACCACUAAAAAUGUGAAUUUUUUUUUCUCUGUUUUACAAGAGUUUCACUAGAGUCUAAUAGAUGUAUACAAGUAUAAAGGCUUGAGCCAAAAGCACUAGACAGUAUUCCACUUGAUAGUGUAUUCAAAUUAAGAACAUUUGCAUGGUCACUGUUAAUUUUUGGCAAAGAGGGGUUAAUGGUUUGUAGGAUGGCCAGAUUCUGUUUGGGACUCGGCAAAAACUGAUAUUUGCUUCCCUGUUUGACUAUUCCAAAUAUGAAUUGUUCCAUCACUAGAUGAUAAGAUGCAAAUAUCGUUUCCCACCUAAAAAAUCUGCAUAAGUAAUGAGUGAUUUAUAACAAAUGUUGUUACAAUCGAAAAAUAAUAUCUAAAAGCCCCUAUAGAAGCUAAUAAAAUUUCAAACACGGCUUAACUCAUGAGUAACUGUUAUAAUUUCUAUACUAAUAAACACAGCUUAAAUCAUCACUAACAUCCAUUCACAUAACAUCCCCUUUUGUUUUAAAUCAUCAGCCGUGAUGCAUAAUGGAUAAUGACUAGCAGUUUGCUGAUUGAUACCAUAGUUGAAAGUUGAUAGUACUUGGUAGUUCUCUACUAUAGUAAUAUAUUAAUACUACAAGGAUUUACAGUGUAAAGUCUGGGUGAUUUGAUUUCAAGAAUUCUUUUGAUUAUUAAAACUGGAAAGAAUUUACAGAAGAUGUUCUCUUCAGAUCAAGUUGCCUAUAAAUAUUCUCACAACUCUCAAUCUUUGUGGUACUCUCCCAUUCACAAGGCUUCUCCUCCAAAGGUUGUAUGUCAUUCAAUUAUGGCUACAUUUUCUCUCUUUAAUUUAGCAUUCUUCUUAACACAUAAUGUAACCCGUCUCCGUGCGAUGCACGGACGAGCAGUUGGUGUAAAUCCGCCUCCGUGCGAUGCAUGGAAAAUUAAUCUUGUCUUGAUUGGAGCCAUUAACGUUUUCUCUACUGCAUUCAGGUCAUCUCAACUUUCAAACCUGCUUGGAGCUUUACAUGAUGAUGGUCAAUAAGUGUUUUUUUUUUUAUUAUUUUGGAUCUGCUCUAUCAUAUGAGAAAAUGUUUGUUUCUGUGAUGCACAGUUUCAGUAGUGACCAAGUCUUUUUAUUAUCUUCGUUGUGCUUCACUUUUAGCAUGUUUUUUUAGUAACAUUUAUGUGAAUUAUAUGUUUGUGCAGGACUAUGAAAUUUCUUUGUUAUACACGAAUGUGAAACUCAAUCUGAAUUUGAAGAGCAAAGACAUCAGGUUCCUGAAACCUGGGGAAGAGUUUGGCAAGUGGAAGUUUGCCUUUGUAUCACUAGGGUGUCCUGACUCCUGAGUACCAUAAUGAUUCCGAUAUUGUAUCCAGUCUUCAGGUAUGAAGACAUUCUUAUCAAAUAUAUAUAUUUGAUCUGCAGGUAUGAAGACAUUCUUCUAUCCUUGUGGAACAUUUCAAAGAAUGCUACUGUUGCAAAAAUCAGAUCCAUAUGUAUCUGCUUUGAAUGAGGCAACACCAGGAAGUGUUAGGUCAGUUUUCAAAGCUUGGGAAGACCGUUUGAAUUCUUCUGGGAAUCACUUGGAAACCAAGGGUGUAACGGUGGCCCAAACACUGGCAGACUUAGCGCUCUGGCCAAUAAGCCAAAGCUAUUCAGUUGCUUAAAGUUUUACUUUUCGGGUGAUUAUGUGCUGAGUUAUAAGGAAGAUCUUGAAGAUUUAGUUGAAGUGGGAAGAGGUGCAGUUUUGAGAAGCAAGGAUAAAUUGGAAGCUAAAAGACAUGAAUUUAAAGUGGCUUCAAAUUUGUUUAUUGUUUACAAUCUUGAUCCGCCACAAGGAAGAAAUUGGGGUAUGAAGAUUCAACUCUUUGGCAGAGACUAAAUGAGGCAGAAGAUCUACCUGCCAAUAUUGGUUCCCAAGUCAUUGGUCACACAUGGAUUCUGGAGUCAAUUGCUGCGUGUAAGUUGCAACCUUUUGUUAGCUAAAACGCAUUUUGUAGCUGAUUUUGUCCCUCUUUUGAUAGGGUAUUUAUUCUGCAAAAGAUUUGAUCAAUUAUGUACAGAAUGUCAAUUGAAUUUAUAUCUUAUGUUAGCUAUGAUAUUGAGGGAUGCUAGCAAUAUGUUUGACCGUUUGUUAUUUAGUGAAAUGUAUUUGUGAUUUACUAAAAAAAACAGGAUCACUUGGAAAGCAAUGAGGGUGAUCCUAAGUAACUUGUAUUCAUUCCGUAAGUUUCUAUGCCCUACACUCAUCUUGUGUUGUUAUUUACACAUGCUAAGUCAUGGCAUGUUUGGAAUAUAGUGGGUGGAUAUAGUUGUCAAUUUAGUACUUAUGCCAUAGUUAAUUUUCAUUUUUCAAACUACUUCCAUGUCAAUGGCCUAGAAGUUUGAAUAAUCUUUUCAACAACAUAACAUCUCCAUAAUCCAGGACCUGCAUGUCUUAAGAACAACAUCAGAUAUCAAUUCAUUUUCGAUGGACCAAGGUAGGAAUGCUUCAAACAUUAAUUCUAGCAGCAAGGGGUAAACAGGUUGCUGUGUGCUUUUUCUCAUGAUGAUUUUGAACUCAAUGUUUCAGGAACCAAGCAAACAAGAUUUACUAAACUAUGGGCAAAAUGGCUUACAGAACAAGAAGUGAGAACAACUAAGAACAAGAGGAGCUUCAUCAACAUGCUUUGUUUUUUACUCAAAUUGUAUUUUACUGCUAGAUAUUAUUAUUAUGGCAUUCAUUUCAAUUUAAUUGAAAUCUAAUUGUUUCUCAUUUUAAGUUGUCUAUAAAUACUGUUAUUGUGUGUCCUUGCUAUUGUUCUUGCUCUAACUUCUUUUCUUUCUCUGUUGUAGGCUGUUUUGGAGGAGCUAAGAAUGGAUUAUAUGUGUAUAAGAAUUAUGUUGUUUAUAUAUUUUGGUUGUUAGCUCCUUGAGUAAAUCAUGUUAGUAUUUACCAAGUUGUAUUUUCAAAUUUUUUAGGCUUAAAUACUCUAGGGGUCCCUGAAAUUGUACCCCGUAUCAAAAUAAGUCCCUGAAAAUUUUUUUUCCGAUUCCGGAUCCCUGGAAUUGUUUUUUUAAUCAGAAUAAGUCCCUACGCCGGAGAAGACGGUGGUUGACGACGGCGGUCAUGGAGGCGCUACGACCAGGGUGUUGGGCCGGCUUCGUCUCGUCCUCAGGAACUCAGUGGUGGUGGUCUCGUGGGCUGGGUCGUCACAGUUGAAGAGAAAAGGCCAGUCGCAAGUUGAUUUCUUCUCGCCGGAAUUUAUGGAGCUUCUCGGUUUCUUCGUUUUAGCUUUGUUUCUUGCGAUUUCUUCGCCCAGAUCAGAUAUAUGAAGGUCUAGGAGUGUUUUAAACAUGUUAUUUCAUGGCUUGUGGAAACAAUGAGGAGGCAACCACUGUCUUCUCCGGCGUAGGGACUUAUUUUGAUCAAACAAAUUUUUCUAGGGACCCGGAAUCGGGAAAAAAAUUUUCAAGGACUUAUUUUGAUACGGGGUACAAUUUCAGGGACCUACAGAGUAUUUAAGCCAAUUUUUUACCCUUGAAGGUGACAGAUAUACUGCUGGGCAUCUUUGUUGUAAAUGUUGAGAAAAUUUACUCUCAUUAACAAUUGGGAUUAGUCAUUAUUGGGUUCCAUUAUUAUCCAGUAUUGAAGAAUACUUUGUAUUAACAAUAGUUUGUGUAAAUAGUCUUUGUAAUUAUAGUUGUCUA